UUGGAGGGCAAGUCUGGUGCCAGCAGCCGCGGUAAUUCCAGCUCCAAUAGCGUAUAUUAAAGUUGUUGCAGUUAAAAAGCUCGUAGUUGAAUUUCGGAAUCAAUUUGUUGGUCGUGCCUCGGUACGUACUGGUAUUAUUGGUUUCUACCUUCUGAAGAACCUUGAUGUCAUUAAUUUGGUGUCUUGGGGAAUCAGGACUGUUACUUUGAAAAAAUUAGAGUGUUUAAAGCAAGCAUACGCUUGAAUACAUUAGCAUGGAAUAAUGAAAUAGGGCGUUUGAUUCUAUUUUGUUGGUUUCUAGGAUCGACGUAAUGAUUAAUAGGGAUAGUUGGGGGCAUUAGUAUUCAAUUGUCAGAGGUGAAAUUCUUGGAUUUAUUGAAGACUAACUACUGCGAAAGCAUUUGCCAAGGAUGUUUUCAUUAAUCAAGAACGAAAGUUAGGGGAUCGAAGACGAUCAGAUACCGUCGUAGUCUUAACCAUAAACUAUGCCGACUAGGGAUCGGAUGAUGUUAAUUUUUUAAUGACUCAUUCGGCGCCUUACGGGAAACA
rnacentral:rRNA from 1 species